GGGCCUGUAAGUCAGGGGUGAAAGUUUGUGGCUCAACCAUAAAAUUGCCUUUGAUACUGCAGGUCUUGAGUCAUGGUGGGGUCGCCGGAACAUGUGGUGUAGCGGUGAAAUGCAUAGAUAUCACAUAGAACACCGAUCGCGAAGGCAGGUGGCCAACCAUGUACUGACGCUGAUGGACGAAAGCGUGGGUAGCGAACGGGAUUAGAUACCCCGGUAGUCCACGCCGUAAACGAUGGAUACUAGCUGUGGGGACUUCGGUCUCCGUGGCCAAGCGAAAGUGAUAAGUAUCCCACCUGGGGAGUACGUUCGCAAGAAUGAAACUCAAAGGAAUUGACGGGGACCCGCACAAGCGGUGG
rnacentral:rRNA from 1 species